rnacentral:rRNA from 1 species
UUAAGUACUGUACGUUCUCAUGCAGUCCAGCGGAGAGAGAACCUUGCUUCUCUUGAGAGCGCCGUACGGUGGAGUAAUGCCUAGGAAUCUGCCUGGCCUGGGGGAUAACGUUCGGAAACGGACGCUAAUACCGCAUACGUCCUACGGACAGAAAGCAGGGGACCUUCGGGCCUUGCGCUAUCAGAUGAGCCUAGGUCGGAUUAUCUAGUUGGUGGGGUAAUGUGUCACCAAUGCGACGAUCCGUAACUGGUCUGAGAGGAUGAUCAGCCACACUGGAACUGAUACACGGUCCACACUCCUACCUUCCGCAGCAUUGGGGAAUAUUGGACAAUGGGCGAAAGCCUGAUCCAGCCAUGCCGCGUGUGUGAAGAAGGUCUUCUGAUUGUAGAGCACUUUACGUUGUCAGGAAAGGCCAUUACCUAAUACGUGAUGGUUUUGACGUUACCUACUGAAUAAGGACCGGCUCACUCUGUGCCAACAUCCGCGGUAAUACAGAGGGUGCAAGCGUCAUUCGGAAUUACUGAACGUAAAGCGCGCGUACGUGGUUUGUUAAGUUGCAUGUGAAAUCCCCGGGCUUUACCUGUUGAACUGCAUUCUCCACUGACUGACUAGAGUAUGGGUAUAGGUGUGGUGGCAAUUUCCUGUGUAGCGGUGACGUGCGUAUAUAUAUCGAAUGAACACCAGUAGCGAAUGCGACCACAUGCACUGAUACUGACACUGCUGUGCAAAGCGUGGGAGAAACAAGGAUGAGAUACCCUGGUACUCUGCGCCGUAUACCAUGUCACUAGCCGUUGCGAGUCUUGAGCUCAUAGUGGCGCAGCUAACGCAUUUACGAUGACCGCCUGUGGAGUCCGCCGCAAAGUUAAAACUCAAAUGAACUUGACAGCUGGCCCGCACAAGCGGCUGAAGCAUUGUGCUUAAUUCUUAGUUACGACGAAUAGCUUACUCCGCUUGACAUGCAUGGAGCUUUCAGAGAUGGAUGUUGCUUAUACGAUCAUGAACAACGAGCUCGCAUGCCUGUCGUACGUCUGUCCGUAACAGUUAGAAUAGCUUACGAACGAAAUCAAGACUUUGACUUGCCUGACAGACUGUUUCGGUGAGUGCUCUAUAGUUCCACAUGCUGGUACCUAGACCAUGGGAGAACUGGGUGCAUAUGAACAUAAGUUAUGAGUGGGCAGUAUUACUCCUCGUAUUACACCUUACAAUGGUCGGUACAGAGGGUUGCCAAGCCGCGAGGUGGAGCUAAUCCCAGAAAACCGAUCGUAGUCCGGAUCGCAGUCUGCAACUCGACUGCGUGAAGUCGGAAUCGCUAGUAAUCGCGAAUCAGAAUGUCGCGGUGAAUACGUUCCCGGGCCUUGUACACACCGCCCGUCACACCAUGGGAGUGGGUUGCACCAGAAGUAGCUAGUCUAACCUUCGGGAGGACGGUACCGAGACGGAACGAGGCCAC